rnacentral:lncRNA from 1 species
AUGGGAGCACAGACGAUAAGCUCAGAGUCACACAGUGGUUUCUUUGCAUUUGGCCCAAAAACCAAGCUUAAAAAUACAAACAGGCUGUACUGCACAGAGGGUGAAAUGCUUAAAUGUCAGAAUAGUAUUGUUAAGGCCCUAUCUGUAUGCAUAGCAACUAUCGUGUGCGCCGCAGAGAAAAGAGCUUGUUUCGUGAAGGCAAGCGGGAAUAAAAGACCCGUAUCCUGUUUUACCAUUCCCAGCUACAUUUCCGGACUGCAGACAGACAGCAGUAUAGCAGUUGUACCAUGAGCCUGCACCACUGCUUCUCACCCGUCAUGUCACAGCUGAGUUCAGCCAAGAUAUAGACCAAGAGCAGAAGCCUUUUGAUUUCCAGAGCAAGGGAGCUUGUGGCAAGCUUGGAUCCUCUUGGUUAGCAUUCCCUUUCCUCACAGUGCCUUCAGGCGUCAACCUUCUCGGCGAGAUUCAAGUCAGUUCUUCCAGACACUUGUAUGUGAGGUGAGCUCUGAGAUUCUGAGGUUUUAUUGCAGUCUGGAUGGGAGGUGACUUCAUCAGUAUGUUGGUGCAUUUCUGCUCCUGAACGAGGUGUGCAGCUGUUGUAAUUUCUCAGUGUGUCAAUAAGAAAGGCUGUGCAGCACAUGUAAAGGAUUCACACUUGUCCACUACGGUUUAAGGAAAAUUGCUUCAUAUGACAGGUUAAGUCCAAUUUUAUUCAAAUAUAACAAAUCGUCCUACAGAUAAAAAUGGACUAAUUCUAUGAACUUCUUAUUUAUCUUUUUUUAGCAAUGCGUAGAUCUUUUUUCCUAAUUUCAGACUGGGACAGAUUGGGUCCUAUGAAUCUACAGUUAGGGAUGCUUUUGAAAUGCAAAUAGCAAUGUCUUUCCUAAGCAUGCCUUCUCCUGGGUUAAUUAAUUAAUAAUAGGAUCUGUUUUAAUAGGCAAAAAAUAUUACAAGUUUCAGCCUAGUUAGUGAGUUGAGUUUAACGCUGGUGAAAAAUAUAGGGUUUACCUUGUCUUGCUGACGUAUGUGACAAUUGCUAUCUGUGCUUUUGUAGCUAUGCUCACUAUACCCUCCUGAAUUUUCUUUCUUUCUUCUUGAGAAAACCAAGCUUUAAUACACACACACCUGGCUGACAUCUCACUGUAGUCUAUACAUCUAAGUUAAGUCUUCAGAAAACUGUCCUACAAAGUUCUUCCUGCCACUUUUGAUUAUUCACAGGUCUCUUUGGAAUAUGGAAGUACUCACACCCACAUCCAGGUACUACCAAAAUGCAUCUUUUCUAAUGCAAUUA